rnacentral:rRNA from 1 species
UACGUAGGGUGCAAGCGUUGUCCGGAUUUAUUGGGCGUAAAGAGCUCGUAGGCGGUCUGUCGCGUCGGAUGUGAAAACCCAGGGCUCAACCCUGGGCCUGCAUUCGAUACGGGCAGACUAGAGUAUGGCAGGGGAGACCGGAAUUCCUGGUGUAGCGGUGAAAUGCGCAGAUAUCAGGAGGAACACCGGUGGCGAAGGCGGGUCUCUGGGCCAAAACUGACGCUGAGGAGCGAAAGCGUGGGGAGCGAACAGG